UCCUGGAUUCAGCGGCGGACGGGUGAGUAAUGCCUAGGAAUCUGCCUGGUAGUGGGGGAUAACGUCCGGAAACGGGCGCUAAUACCGCAUACGUCCUGAGGGAGAAAGUGGGGGAUCUUCGGACCUCACGCUAUCAGAUGAGCCUAGGUCGGAUUAGCUAGUUGGUGGGGUAAAGGCCUACCAAGGCGACGAUCCGUAACUGGUCUGAGAGGAUGAUCAGUCACACUGGAACUGAGACACGGUCCAGACUCCUACGGGAGGCAGCAGUGGGGAAUAUUGGACAAUGGGCGAAAGCCUGAUCCAGCCAUGCCGCGUGUGUGAAGAAGGUCUUCGGAUUGUAGAGCACUUUAAGUUGGGAGGAAGGGCAGUAAGUUAAUACCUUGCUGUUUUGACGUUACCAACAGAAUAAGCACCGGCUAACUUCGUGCCAGCAGCCGCGGUAAUACGAAGGGUGCAAGCGUUAAUCGGAAUUACUGGGCGUAAAGCGCGCGUAGGUGGUUCAGCAAGUUGGAUGUGAAAUCCCCGGGCUCAACCUGGGAACUGCAUCCAAAACUACUGAGCUAGAGUACGGUAGAGGGUGGUGGAAUUUCCUGUGUAGCGGUGAAAUGCGUAGAUAUAGGAAGGAACACCAGUGGCGAAGGCGACCACCUGGACUGAUACUGACACUGAGG
rnacentral:rRNA from 1 species